GAUGAACGCUAGCGGCAGGCCUAAUACAUGCAAGUCGAACGGUGUCUUCGGACAUAGUGGCGCACGGGUGCGUAACACGUAUGCAACCUACCUUACAUUGGGGGAUAGCCUUUCGAAAGGGAGAUUAAUACCGCAUAAGACAGUAGCUGGGCAUCCAGCAGCUGUUAAAGAUUUAUCGAUGUAAGCUGGGCAUGCGUCCAAUUAGCUAGUUGGUGAGGUAACGGCUCACCAAGGCAAUGAUUGGUAGGGGAACUGAGAGGUCAAUCCCCCACACUGGCACUGAGAUCCGGGCCAGACUCCUACGGGAGGCAGCAGUAGGGAAUAUUGGGCAAUGGACGCAGGUCUGACCCAGCCAUGCCGCGUGCAGGAUGAAGGCGUUAUGCGUUGUAAACUGCUUUUAUACAGGAAGAAACGACUCUUGCGAGAGGCAUUGACGGUACUGUAUGAAUAAGCACCGGCUAACUCCGUGCCAGCAGCCGCCGUAACAC
rnacentral:rRNA from 1 species